rnacentral:rRNA from 1 species
UACGGAGGAUGCGAGCGUUGUCCGGAAUUACUGGGUGUAAAGGGCGUGUAGGCGGGAAGGCAAGACAGAUGUGAAAGCCCAUGGCUUAACUGUGGAACUGCAUCUGAAACUGUUUUCCUUGAGUACUGGAGAGGAAAGUGGAAUUCCUAGUGUAGCGGUGAAAUGCGUAGAGAUUAGGAGGAACACCAGUUGCGAAGGCGGCUUUCUGGGCUGUAACUGACGCUGAGGCACGAAAGCGUGGGGAGCAAACAGGAUUAGAUACCCU